rnacentral:sRNA from 1 species
CUGCAUUUUCCAUGACAAUGCGUGACCAAUUUGUAAUAGUGUAAAUUGCAAGCAUAAUAGCUCCAAUCGGGUCGAUCCAGCAGUAAUAUUUAUCACCAAGUACAGCUGCAACUAAUCCAACCACGUUUGUUAUAACAUCAAAUUGAUGAUCCUGAAAGUUGGCAUUUCUGAGAUGGUUCAGUUGUAUUUUAACUUCAUUCAUAAAGAAACAUCAGAAGAGAACCACCAUACAUCUGCAUAGGCACGAACAAUCUUGUUUGCCGAGUUUCUACAGUACUGCCAGAGCACAAGCUUCACUGCUGUUGCAAAUAGCAUAAUAGAGCACAACCAUAUUUGCUUCGGGCUUCGAUACAACAAAAGCUAAAGAUGACCAACUUGUUUUGGAAAUGGCCAGUGCAACUAAAGCUGAAAUUAAAUCUGAUCAUCUUGCACUUGAAGGGAGAAGGCCAUGAGCUGAAGCUUAUGCCAAAUGACCAGUAAAAGGUUGAACCAAGUUGCGGUGACCUUGUUUCAAGUUAAGGACUUCAAGGAACAAUUUGUAGAGUUGGAGCAACCUAUCACAACCAGUAAAUGAAGACAGACACACUUGCUAGACUUGUUACUUGCUGCACUAGAUCAACCAACUGGACUGGACAGAGGAAUUUACAUUGAAGUUUACCUAUUGUAGGAAGUCUUUUACUCUAACAUGCGAACAACAAUCUCGCUCAGGUCACAAGCCACAAAUGUAAGGUCGCCGAAGGUUAGGUUUUCGUUUCCAAACAGGGAAAGACGAGAAUUGACGAAAUCAAGAGUUCCGCACUUUGUUUGAAGAUGAACAAACAGAUGAACAAACGGCGCGGAGAAGGGGAAGGAGUAGGGUUUUCUUGGUGACAGAUAAACGAAAAUGAACGAAGGCAGGAGAUAAAAAUGAAUGAAGGCGCGAGGAAGGGGUAGGGUUUUCUUGUUGACAGAGAAGAUGGACGAAGGCACAAGAGGAAAUGAACGAAGGCACGAGGAGUAGGGUUUGAGAAAUUAUUUAGUAAUUACGGACGAUUUCUUUAAACAACAGUUGAAAAAUUAGAAUUAAAAAUAAAUGUGAGGGACGGUUUUUAUUAUAAACAGCAAAAAUAUUUUAAAAAAUUAAAAAAUAGAAGAUUAGUUGCGGCUUUAGUUAUAAACCGCUCCAAAUUAUUUGGGGUUUUCAAACCCCAAAAAAU